rnacentral:rRNA from 1 species
GAAUAUUGGACAAUGGGCGAAAGCCUGAUCCAGCCAUGCCGCGUGUGUGAAGAAGGUCUUCGGAUUGUAAAGACCUUUAAGUUGGGAGGAAGGGCAGUAAGCGAAUACCUUGCUGUCUUGAAGUUACCGACAGAAGAAGCCCCGGCCAACUCUGUGCCAGCAUCCGCGGUAAUACAGAGGGUGCAAGCGUUAAUCGGAAUGACGGGGCGUAACGCGCGCGUAGGUGGUUCGGUAAGUUGGAUGUGAGAUCCCCGGGCGCAACCUGGGAACUGCAUCCAAAACUGGCGAGCUAGAGUAGGGCAGAGGGUGGUGGAAUUUCCUGUGUAGCGGUGAAAUGCGUAGAUAUAGGAAGGAACACCAGUGGCGAAGGCGACCACCUGGGCUCAUACUGACACUGAGGUGCGAAAGCGUGGGGAGCAAACA